rnacentral:rRNA from 1 species
GAAGCGAAGCCGCGAGGUAGAGCAAAUCUCAAAAAGACAUCUCAGUUCAGGUUGCAGGCUGCAACUCGCCUGCAUGAAGUCGGAAUUGCUAGUAAUCGUAGGUCAGCAUACUACGGUGAAUACGUUCCCGGGCCUUGUACACACCGCCCGUCAAACCAUGAGAGUUGGCAACACCCGAAGUCGGUAGUCUAACCGCAAGGAGGACGCCGCCGAAGGUGGGGUUGAUGAUUAGGGUUAAGUCGUAACAAGGUAGC